rnacentral:rRNA from 1 species
GACGAACGCUGGCGGCGUGCUUAACACAUGCAAGUCGAACGGAAAGGCCCUGCUUUUGUGGGGUGCUCGAGUGGCGAACGGGUGAGUAACACGUGAGUAACCUGCCCUUGACUUUGGGAUAACUUCAGGAAACUGGGGCUAAUACCGGAUAGGAGCUCCUGCUGCAUGGUGGGGGUUGGAAAGUUUCGGCGGUUGGGGAUGGACUCGCGGCUUAUCAGCUUGUUGGUGGGGUAGUGGCUUACCAAGGCUUUGACGGGUAGCCGGCCUGAGAGGGUGACCGGCCACAUGGGGACUGAGAUACGGACCAGACGGCUACGGGAGGCAGCAGUGGGGAAUAUUGCACAAUGGGCGGAAGCCUGAUGCAGCAGCGCCGCGUGCGGGAUGACGGCCUUCGGGUUGUAAACCGCUUUCGCCUGUGACGAAGCGGGAGUGACGGUAAUGGGUAAAGAAGCACCGGCUAACUACGUG